rnacentral:tRNA from 1 species
AAGAGAGUGACAGAGUGGUUAUGUAUUUAGCUUGAAACUAAAAUAUGGGGGUUCAAUUCCUUCCUUUCUUG